rnacentral:rRNA from 1 species
AGCAGCCGCGGUAAUUCCAGCUCCAAUAGCGUAUAUUAAAGUUGUUGCAGUUAAAAAGCUCGUAGUUGAAUUUCGGGGUCAGCAGGUCGGUCGUGCCACUGGUAUGCACUGGCCUUGCUGAUUCCUCCCUCUUGAUGAGCCGUAAUGCCAUUAAUUUGGUGUUGCGGGGAAUCAGGACUGUUACUUUGAAAAAAUUAGAGUGUUUAAAGCAGGCAAGCGCUUGAAUACAUUAGCAUGGAAUAAUGAAAUAGGACGUUCGAUCCUAUUUUGUUGGUUUCUAGGAUUGACGUAAUGAUUAAUAGGGAUAGUUGGGGGCAUUAGUAUUCAAUUGUCAGAGGUGAAAUUCUUGGAUUUAUUGAAGACUAACUACUGCGAAAGCAUUUGCCAAGGAUGUUUUCAUUAAUCAAGAACGAAAGUUAGGGGAUCGAAGACGAUCAGAUACCGUCGUAGUCUUAACCAUAAACUAUGCCGACUAGGGAUCGGAUGAUGUUAAUUUUUUAAUGACUCAUUCGGCGCCUUACG